UACGGGGGGGGGCAAGCGUUUGUUCGGAAUUACUGGGCGUAAAGAGCUCGUAGGCGGUUUGUCGCGUCUGCCGUGAAAGUCCGGGGCUCAACUCCGGAUCUGCGGUGGGUACGGGCAGACUAGAGUGAUGUAGGGGAGACUGGAAUUCCUGGUGUAGCGGUGAAAUGCGCAGAUAUCAGGAGGAACACCGGUGGCGAAGGCGGUUCUCUGGGCAUUACCUGACGCUGAGGAGCGAAAGUGUGGGGAGCGAACAGG
rnacentral:rRNA from 1 species